rnacentral:lncRNA from 1 species
AACAACUCUAGGCGCAAAUGCAGACUUUUCAUUAGGCAUCCUAAAAGGGUAUAUAUGGGUAUCCAAAGAAAGUGUAUCUGAUUUCAAAGAAACAAUAUGUCACUAGAGUGAACAGUUUAUGAUCGAAGGUGGAUAAUGGGUUAUGAAAGAUAUGAAUAAUGCCCUAAGGAGGAGGAGGAAUAAUUAGAAGUAUGCUCGCCAAGGAUUUGCAUCCUCGUGCCUAUGUAUUCUCACCGUGCAAUGAGAAAAUCAGAGCAAUUGUAGUUCGUG